UCAAGUUAUUAAGGGCAUACGGCGGAUGCCUAGGCGCCAAGAGCCGACGAAGGACGGGGUAAGCUCCGAUAUGCCAGGAAGAGCUGCAAGCAAGCUUUGACUCCUGGAUUUCCGAAUGGGGGAACCCGGCGGUGGUAAUGCACUGUCACCUAACGUAAGUUAGGAGGGCACCCGGGGAACUGAAACAUCUAAGUACCCGGAGGAAAAGUAAUCAAUUGAGAUUCCCUAAGUAGCGGCGAGCGAACGGGGAAGAGCCCAAACCCUGUUCGACAUUGGAUUUUCGACAUGCGACAUUCGAAGGGAGACGAAAGUUACCAAACCCCUAUCGAAAGUCUAAAGUAGAAGGUCGAAUGUCGAGCAGGGGGUUGAGGACUGACAUAAAUCAGAAAAUAUCUAGUUGAACUACCUGGAAAGGUAGGCCACAGAAGGUAACAGCCCUGUAAACGAAAGAUUGCAUCUGAGGGUCAGAAUCCAGAGUACCACGGGACACGAGGAACCCUGUGGGAAGCAGGGGGGACCACCCUCCAAGGAACAAUACUCCUCUGGCGACCGAUAGCGCAUAGUACCGUGAGGGAAAGGUGAAAAGCACCCCGGGAGGGGAGUGAAAGAGAACCUGAAACCGUAUGUCUACAAGCAGUCGAAGACCUUUAUAUGGUCAACGGCGUGCCUAUUGAAGAAUGAACCGGCGAGUUACAGUAACUAGCGAGGUUAAGUGGAAAACACGGAGCCGAAGCGAAAGCGAGUCUAAAUAGGGCGAGAGUUAGUUAUUGUAGACCCGAAACCGCAGUGAUCUAUCCAUGGCCAGGUUGAAGCGCAGGUAAAAAUGCGUGGAGGACCGAACCCGUGAGCGUUGAAAAGCUUUGGGAUGAGUUGUGGAUAGGGGUGAAAUGCCAAUCGAACGCGGAGAUAGCUGGUUCUCCCCGAAAUAGCUUUAGGGCUAGCCUCAGGUAAUGAGUAUAGACGGUAGAGCACUGAUAGGGCUAGGGGUCUUAUAGAUUACUGAACCUUGUCAAACUACGAAUGGAUAUACUUUAACCUGGGAGUCAGACUGCGAGUGAUAAGAUCCGUAGUCAAAAGGGAAACAGCCCAGACCAUCAGCUAAGGUCCCCAAUGCCGUGCUAAGUGGCAAAGGAUGUGGAAUUUCCGAAACAACCAGGAUGUUGGCUUAGAAGCAGCCACCAUUUAAAGAGUGCGUAAUAGCUCACUGGUCGAGAGAUUGUGCGCCGAAGAUGUCCGGGGCUAAAGCACGGAACCGAAGCUAUGGCUUUUUCGACAGUCGACUUUUGACAUUCGAUAUUCGAUAGGAGUGUGAAAAAUGUCUGGCUAUAAAGAAUUAGCAAUAUAUCAGAAAUCAUAUGAUACAUCGCUAAGAAUUCAUAGAUUGACAGUCACAUUUCCAAAACAUGAAACGUAUGAACUAGGAAGUCAGAUGCGUAGAGCAGCUAUAUCUAUACCGCUAAAUAUAGCGGAAGGAUAUGGACGAAAGAUUCAUCAAAAUGAUUUUAAAUCAUUUUUGAUAAACGCAUUAGGCUCUUGCAACGAAGUACAAGUACUACUGGAAAUGGUAAAAGAUCUUGGAUAUAUCGACCAAGAGUAUAAUGAAUUAAAAGAGAUAUAUGACCAUCUAAGUAGACAAAUAUCGAAAUUCAUACAAGCCAUGAAAUAAUCGAAAAUCGGAAAUCGAAAGUCGACUGUCGAGAAGGGGUAGGGGAGCGUUCUUAUCGGAGCGAAGCAUGACCGUAAGGACAUGUGGACUGAUAAGAAGUGAGAAUGCCGGUAUGAGUAGCGAAAAGACAAGUGAGAAUCUUGUCCACCGAAAGCCUAAGGAUUUCUGAGGAAGGAUCGUCCGCUCAGAGUAAGUCGGGACCUAAGCCGAGGCGUGAAUGCGUAGGCGAUGGACAACUGGUUAAAAAUCCAGUACCACCUAGAGUCGUUUGAGCGAUGGAGUGACACAGUAGGGUAAAUGAGCGCGAGGAUGGAAAUUCGCGUCUAAGCUUGUAGGGUGCAGAGCAGGCAAAUCCGCUCUGCUGGAACCUGAGAAGUAAUGGGUAGCUGUUAGCAAUAACGGUGAAUUGAUUGAUCCCACACUGUCAAGAAAAGCUUCUAGUGAGAUAAUAGGUGCCCGUACCGUAAACCGACACAGGUAGGCGGGGAGAGAAUCCUAAGGUGCGCGGGAGAACCCUCGUUAAGGAACUCGGCAAAAUGUCCCCGUAACUUCGGGAAAAGGGGAGCUUAUAUAUCGUGUAGACUAGAAACGGUCGAAGCGAAAAUGAGUUGCAAAAAAGAGGCCCAAGCGACUGUUUACCACAAACACAGGUGCCUGCUAAAGCGAAAGCUGACGUAUAGGUGCUGACACCUGCCCGGUGCCGGAAGGUUAAGAGGAGCGGUUAGAUGAUAAGUCGAAGCUGUGAAUUGAAGCCCCGGUAAACGGCGGCCGUAACUAUAACGGUCCUAAGGUAGCGAAAUUCCUUGUCGGGUAAGUUCCGACCCGCACGAAAGGUGUAACGACUUGGGCACUGUCUCAACGAGGGACCCGGUGAAAUUGAAAUACCUGUGAAGAUGCAGGUUACCCGCGACUGGACAGAAAGACCCCAUGGAGCUUUACUGCAACCUGACAUUGAGUUUUGGUAAAUGAUGUACAGGAUAGGUGGGAGACAGAGAAAUCAGGACGCCAGUCUUGAUGGAGUCAAUGUUGGGAUACCACCCUUUAUUUACUGGAAUUCUAACUCAAGAAGUAACGACGCUGAGGACAGUGUCAGGCGGGCAGUUUGACUGGGGCGGUCGCCUCCGAAAGAGUAACGGAGGCGCCCAAAGGUUCCCUCAGCGCGGAUGGAAAUCGCGCGAAGAGUGUAAAGGCAGAAGGGAGCUUGACUGCGAGUCAGACAAGACGAGCAGGGACGAAAGUCGGGCUUAGUGAUCCGGUGGUACCGAGUGGAAGGGCCAUCGCUCAACGGAUAAAAGCUACCCUGGGGAUAACAGGCUAAUCUCUCCCAAGAGUCCAUAUCGACGGGGAGGUUUGGCACCUCGAUGUCGGCUCAUCACAUCCUGGGGCUGAAGUAGGUCCCAAGGGUUGGGCUGUUCGCCCAUUAAAGUGGUACGUGAGCUGGGUUCAGAACGUCGUGAGACAGUUCGGUCCCUAUCCAUCGCGGGCGCAAGAGACUUGAAGGGAACUGCUCCUAGUACGAGAGGACCGGAGUGGACGAACCAAUGGUGUACCAGUUAUUCCGCCAGGAGUAGAGCUGGGUAGCUACGUUCGGAAAGGAUAAACGCUGAAAGCAUCUAAGCGUGAAACCAGCCUUAAGAUGAGGUCUGUCAUUCGAAAGAAGUAAGGCCCCUUGCAGAUGACAAGGUAGAUAGGCCAGAUGUGGAAGUGGAGUAAUCCAUGCAGCUGACUGGUACUAAUAGGCCGAGGACUUGACUUA
rnacentral:rRNA from 1 species